GCAGCGGCGAGGGACUUUGACUCCCAGGAUGGGGGUGGGGAUGAGUCCUCAAUGGGAACCCUGGUGCAGAAGGUGCGGGGUGGUGGCACUGUCAGCAGGGACCACUGGGAAGUUGAGGAUGAGGACAUCAAAAAUAACUGGGAAGAUAAUGACAAAAAAGAAAAAAAACAAAGAGGAAGCAGAAGUAAAACCAGAGAUUAAAAUUUCAGAAAAAAAUAAAUAGCAGAGAAGAUAAAAGAGAAAGAACAACAAUAGAAGAAAAGGCAAGUAGAAAUUAAAGAGAGGUUAGAAGAACCUGAGAACCUAAAGUUCUAAAACCCAGAAGAACAGAAGAACAAUUUAACAGAUAAACCGUGCUAAAGAAAUUAUAGGAAGAGUCAGACCUCAAAUUAGCAAAGGAAAUUUUCAUAGUUAAUAAUACAGUUUAUGGAAUAAAUGCUAUGAACCCAUCUUUAAGAGAUGACUUUACAGAGUUUGGAAAGUUACUAAAAGAUAAAAUUAUACAAUAUGAAAAGUCACUAUAUUAUGCCAGUUUUUUGGAAGUCUUAGCUGGAUAUGUGUGUAUUUCACUGGAAAUUGAUGACUUGAAAAAGGUUACCAGUUCACCAACUGUGCUUUACGGUGAAAAACAAAAGCAAGCAAAGCAAAGCCAAAAAGAAGAAAUGUGUGGUUCCUGGAGGGGGGUUAAAAGCCACCAUGACAGAUGACCUGGCAGGUUAUGGUGGUGAUGAU
rnacentral:lncRNA from 1 species